CCUACGGGGGGCAGCAGUGAGGAAUAUUGGUCAAUGGACGAGAGUCUGAACCAGCCAAGUAGCGUGAAGGAUGACUGCCCUAUGGGUUGUAAACUUCUUUUAUAAAGGAAUAAAACGCGGCACGUGUGCCUUUUUGCAUGUACUUUAUGAAUAAGGAUCGGCUAAUUCCGUGCCAGCAGCCGCGGUAAUACGGAGGUUCCGAGCGUUAUCCGGAUUUAUUGGGUUUAAGGGGAGCGUAGAUGGAUUGUUAAGUUUGUUGUGAAAGUUCGGGGCUCAACCGUAAAAUUGCAGUGGAUAAUGGCCGGCUUGAGUGCAGGGAGGGUAAGCGGAAUUCGUGGGGUAGCGGUGAAAUGCUUAGAUAUCACGAAGAACCCCGAUUGCGAAGGCAGCUUACUAAACUGUGACUGACAUUGAGGCUCGAAAGUGUGGGUAUCAAACAGGAUUAGAUACCCUUGUAGUC
rnacentral:rRNA from 1 species